rnacentral:rRNA from 1 species
UACGGGGGGGGUAAGCGUUGUUCGGAAUUACUGGGCGUAAAGGGCUCGUAGGCGGCCAACUAAGUCGGACGUGAAAUCCCUCAGCUUAACUGGGGAACUGCGUCCGAUACUGGAUGGCUUGGAUUUGGGAGAGGGAUGCGGAAUUCCAGGUGUAGCGGUGAAAUGCGUAGAUAUCUGGAGGAACACCGGUGGCGAAGGCGGCAUCCUGGACCGGGAUUGACACUGAGGCGCGAAAGCCAGGGGAGCAAACGGG